rnacentral:lncRNA from 1 species
GAGUGCCAUGAUUUCAGAUCUGAACCUAUUAUGUUUUCAUCAAUAUAUGAGUGUUCUUGAUCCUAUCUUGCAAGUCUAUAGUCACCUAUUAUCUAUACUACUAUUAAACGAGAGAAGUUCAGGCCAGCGGACGAAAACUCUGCCCGUAAAACAACCCACGCCCGCACGAGUGUACAGGUAAACCCACGUCCUUUUCUCAAAAAAAUAAUCAGUAAACAACCCACGCCCAAAAUACACGGAGAGUCAUACACGGAAAACAACAUGGAAACAACUAAGCUCAAUUUGCGGGAAUCAAUCCAGGCUCGACGUCCAGAUUACAUGCCCCUGCGCAGCCGCUGAGGCACCCGACAACGGCCGCGACGUCGCUGCCCUGCGCAGCCGCCGAGGCAUCCGACGACGGCCGCGACGUCGCCGCCCUGCGCAGCCGCCGAGGCAUCCGACUACGGCCGCGACGACGAGGUCGCCGAGUCACUCGACGACGGCCACGACGACGUGCUGUUCCCAAGACAGGUGCAGCUGCACAGACGCCCUGCCACGGCCGCGACGAGGAUCUCCUCGCCGACAUAGGUGCUUGCUCUUCUCUCAUUCACAACUUCGAAAGGCUUUUACAUGUUGCUGCCGUGCUCCUUUCUCAACCUGUUCAUGUGAUCCAUCAAUUGUUCUGGUUGAAUGAAAUUAUGAAAAACAAGGAAAGUGUAUGAACUGAUGGCAUAUGGCAUGACCAUAUGCUAACAAUCCUUGUUGUCCGUACCUGACCUAAACCUGACGUCGUUUCAUGAAUCCUUGUCAAGUGAGCAUUGUACUGACCUCACCUAAAUGCCUCAUCAAGCUGCAUAUGAACAGGUUCAAUUCUCAGAUCCAAAUAUGAACACACAUAAAGUCACUCUGAGAUACACCUACAUGAAUAUUAAUGCAAAAGGAAUUCAAUUGGCGACUAAGUAUUAACCCAGCUUGCAUGUUAAACAGUAGGAUGGAGUUGAACAUAAAACACUACUCUAUCUAAGUUGUGGUAAUAGUAUUCCUUCAGUUACAAUUGUGUGAUACCAUUCUUGACAUUCACAGGGUUGAAGGACUUCAUAUGGCCCCAACCAGUCCCAACAGGGCGCGCACCCCGUUCCAGGAUAUAAGCAACAACCAAUCCUUGGGUGAUGAGCAUUACACAACCACCCAAUUUCAGUUUUUGUACCCCAACUGCUGAAUUGUGACAUUAUGUGCAGACCCUAAAGAAGUAAAAAGGCAGAGGGAUAGAGAGCGGUAUGCACAAAAUAAGGAUGAGAUUAAUAAGAGACGACAUGAGGCCUACAAACAGAAGAAAAUUGCCUCUGCUGAGAUCAGUGGGGCACAAACACAGCUGGGUGUAUCACAAGGUAAUAAAGAUGAACUUCAUUCUUCAUUAUAUAUAUUGCUAUAUAUAAAUGAUCUAUUCUUCAUCUACUCAGGCAGUAAUGAGAUUAAUAAAGAUGAACUUCAUUCUCCACACAAUAUAUUUGUAUAUAUAAAUGAUCUAUUCUUCAUCUACUCAGGCAGUAAUGAGAUUAAUAAAGAUGAACUUCAUUCUCCACACAAUAUAUUUGUAUAUAUAAUGAUCUAUUCUUCAUCUACUCAGGCAGUAAUGAGAUUAAGAAUCGUAUGGAAAGGGAGCGGUAUGCACGAAAUAGGGAGGAAAUAUUAAAGCGACAGCGACAAACCCGCGAGCAAAAUAAGCAUAUUGCUGCCGUCCUUGAUGGCAGUAACAUUGUAACGCAAGUGCCGGCUACCGGACAAUCUGCAGUCACACAACUGCAGAACAUAACAAGUGCAGGGGGUGCGGUACCAAAUUCCGUUCAUUUGACCAGAGACAAUGUGGACGAUGAGUCCCAUUGGUUGCACAGAAAUGAUGCGUACCAGAUGCAACGGAAGUCAAGACAGCUGACACCCACACAAAUGUCACUAGAUGAGAACCCCCAACUCAGUGCAAUCGACAAGCUACAUAUGCCAGAAGAGUCUUCUGAAAAAAAGGGUUAGUUGUCCGAUCUAUUAAUGGUGCUAAAUUAUGUGGUGUUUAUUCUUCUCUGCAGGUCAAAACACACAUCAUCAAAUUGGUACUUUUGGUGGUACCACCCUGUACAUAAAAAGUGUCCAUCUCUGCUGCUUACUCUUUUGUGCCAAAUAAAUGUUUUCAGCCAACGACCACGCCAAAGAUGCAUACGGACUACUGGAGCCCGAUGUGCACACGAUAAACAUUGAUGGUCCGCAUAAUGUCAUUUUUAGAUUCAUCUCCCCACUAUGCAUAACAGCAAAUGGGCAUCAUUUACUACUCCUAACACACUAUUAUUCAAUGUUCACAAACAGAAUGCUUGGGAGACGGGAACCAAGGAGAAAAAAAUGGAGACAUAGACCAUGAUGAAGAAGCUAGGAUCUUCGCCCAAUCAGGUUUAUUGUUGCUGUCAUGAGUUACCACUACAAUAUAAUAUUAGUAAUAUGGUCUCUAUUUGAACUUUUAUUAAUGCAAAUGUCGGUUCUGCUCCAGAUGUUUAUUUUCAAACAUACCGAGUGGAACAACAGGAUGGUGAUGGAGCUCCCAAUAAUGAUGCUCAUGACAGAGUCUAUAUUACCCUGCCCAAAAAGCAUCAUGUGCUUAGAAAAGUUGGUGAUUGCCGCCAUUGUGGAGCUUUGCGAUUUCAAUACGAG